CUUUUCACUGAAUUUAAAUUCCUCCAUCAUAGACAUUCAUAAACUUAUGAAUACACAAUAACUGUUGCUUCCUAGUGAGAAUUAUUCAGGAUAAUGCAUAAAUAAUGACUACUAACAGUGGGAGAAUAAGGGGAAGAAUAUCUAAUCAAUGCAUCAAGUAACUUGAGAGCAUGCGGCCUUCCUGCGAGGAACACAGUCUGAGGAAACAUACAACUCUCACAUGAUUGUUCAAGUGCAAAUUCUGCGCCUCUUGAUCACAGAUCGUGCCUUAUGUGCAGAGCUAUUUCUUAACUUCAGUCUAUCCUGGUGACCUCCUAAUGGGAGAGUCAAAGGAAAACCAACUCCUUCGUUCUCCUCUUCAGUGUUUACCAAACUGUUCUCCUCAAUGAAAACAUACCGUCCCACUUCUAUCAGCAGAGUUCAAUGAAACAAACAGAACUACUAUUUGUCUCUGUCGGACCCUGGUUUUCAUAUUUGAUGCUGGAGCUCCAAGACUGCAGUGCAGGCAGUUAGGAAAGAAAGACGCAUAAGGACGGAUAGAUGGAUAAAAGGAAGAGCAAAGAUAAACUGGGACUUGUGCAAAAACUGGAACCCACAAGGAUUAACUGGAACCCUUUUCAGUUCUCAUUGCUCCCGAGUGUGAUGAGACUGGUGUCCUGCAUGAGAAGCUGCUGCCCCUCUUCAUGGAGCUAAACACGCAUCUGGCCCAGGAUCCUGAGAAGCUGAAGGAGGCUCCAGGGGAACUUAUAUUAGUUGCAGACCUGCUGCUGCCCCACCUGUACAAGUUCAGCCUGCAGAAAACAACCUGUGUGAGCUACAAAAGUGCCCAAGGACCUUGCUGUAGGCUUCUGCACGUAAAGAUGAGUAGAGCGGCUGCUUUGCUUCUGUGCCCCUAAAUUUUUACAAAGAUAUCUCUUACGGCCCACUCUCUUCACAAACAUACAGGCUAAGAAUAUCCUGGGAAAAGCAGUUCAGCUUAUCUAAGUUACCACAUUACAAAGCCAAUGCAGUCCACCUUUUGUCACUUAGUACCCAUAUAUCUCUCUUUAAACACAAUAAUUUCCAAUAAAAACAGUAAUAAAGUCAUGCUUCCCCUGACACAAUACAACUUUUCCACUGACUUUAAUCACAGGACUUGAGUGUAUUAAGAGAUCUCCCUGGGGGUACACCUGUGUUCCAGACAUGCUAUUGUGAGUCUGCGUUCUGUAGUAGCAACCCACCAUUCACUUAAUUGUCAGAGUCAGUUACCCAGCCAGAGCCGAAAUCUCCUUCUUUGCACAUUGAUUCAUUGCCACGAGGAGCUAAAAGUGGUUAGGUUGGCAUCUCAAAUUCCAGUUCAAUAAAAUAAUUAUUUUGUCAUUGAUAUAAGCAUUUCUCCUUUUGGAUUUAAGACUUCUCAACCAGUAGAACCUAAAGUCACAGGGCAAUGGAAUCUUUUGUUUUCCCUAAUGGAUCACUUGUGGUAAUAGUGAAAGGAAGUACUUCUCAUUUCCACCCUUGGAUUCACAGAUCCAUGAAUCUUGGCCACAGGAGAAGCAUCUCCAUGUAUAGCUGCUGGUUUAGAGCAUAUAUCACAUCCUGGAGAAAACUGCCCCACA
rnacentral:lncRNA from 1 species